UAAUCUAAUCUAAUCAGACCCUAGCGCAGCCAAUCUUUCGAAGGGAUCCUGGAGAGUGCCUUAGGUUAGAUGACGCCUAGCACUCUUCUUGUCAUUUAUUAACAUUUGUAGUGCGCCAUUGCAUCGGAAUGCAUUGAAACAUCACAAGCGUUAAAGCGGCCAGGCCUACUGCGUAAAGCAGUAUCGCAGAGAUGACUCGUAAUUGGGUUGAGUUUGAGCACUGAGUGUUCGAACAACAACACAAUUCUGAAUCGACAGGGGAGGAAGAAGCGUGGGGACACACCACCAUACGCUCCGAGAUUUUGGUUGUAUUCGUUGGGAGCACACCCAAAACUGGCAGCGCUAGUCCGAGAGAAUGAUGGUCUCGAGUCGAGAGAAUAGUGGUACCAUUCACGGACGCAGAGAACACAGCUUGAGAUGGGCGAUAGAACUAUUCUCUCGAGGUUCAUUUGCAAAAAAAGUUCAUCCGUCAAACAAAAAACCAAAAGUGUCGACAACGGGAAUCGAACCAGAGACCUUUGACAAACCAAUCCAAUGACUUAGCUGCCUCGGCCACCACAGCUUGGUGACCAAGGAGAAGUCAGAAGUCGAUGUAUGACACUUGUUGGAGAUUUAUUGAUUCAACUAACGAAUGAACUCAUUUGUUAUGAUGGUGUGUGUUACGGAGCGGCGCGCGCUGAGUCUGCAGAAAAUACUUCUCGGCGAUGCAAGAAGCAACCCACCGAGUCUUGAAUCAGCAUCAGCUCACGUCGUCCUCGCAGCUGAUGUACAGAUACGUCAAGUUGGAUGAUUUGUUGAAAUUGAAGUGAUCGUAAAGGAGAAAGUGGGAGGACGUUGUGAUUUCUUUGAAUAUUGAAAAUUCACGCGAGUAAAUCGUUCUUUUUGCUUUACUUACGGUAGCUUAACACUCACCACUGGGACUUUGUAAGGGCUGCUGAAGAAAGUUUUUCUGGUCAAACGAAGGUGUCCAGAAAAGCUGCGGACUGACUAGAUUUCGCACAAGCACGACAUUGCCUACCUGUUGGAGGACAUACACGGAUAGGGUGACCAAUGUACGCAAAACUAACCUUAAACCUAGAAUUACUAUUAAUUUGAAUAAAUUUAGCUUUUAGCGAUUCCACAUCAAUCAACGGUGUGCUGCUCAAAAGAACCCGAAAAAGUCCCAACAGUGUGAGUUGGUACCAUUAUUCUAUCGAUUUUGGCACUGAGCCCUCAAUAAAUUUUGAGAGAACGAUUAUCUCGAUUCUGAAUUUUGGGUGCACCAUGCUAAGAAGGUUUGGUACUCCGGGACCCUCUGGGAUGGGACAUUGUAUUUCCACGAGUGCCCUCGACUCUAUUUGCCGUGGUUAUAGCGCCACAACUCGCUCUCUGUAACAGUAUUCCUAAUUCCAGUCUACGUUCACCAAGUCUUCGUGGCCUAGUGGUUAGCAUUUCUGCUUACCAAUCCAAAGGACGGAGGAUCGAACCCCGCCUCGAGCGACUUAGAUUUUUCAUGCAUAUUCAUCAUUUCAAAUUUAUAUGUUCUUAACUUUCUCGUUGGGAGCAGAUGGGAAUCGAA